rnacentral:rRNA from 1 species
GUGCCAGCCGCCGCGGUAAGACAGAGGGGGCAAGCGUUGUCCGGACUGACUGGGCGUAAAGCGCGCGCAGGCGGUCUCGGGCGUCGGUGCUGAAAGUCCACCGCUUAACGGUGGGAUGCGUGCCGAUACGCCGAGACUGGAGGGUGGGCGAGGGUGGUGGAAUUGCCGGUGUAGUGGUGAAAUGCGUAGAGAUCGGCAGGAACACCCGUGGUGAAAACGGCCACCUAGCCCGCACCUGACGCUGAGGCGCGACAGCGUGGGGAGCGAACGGGAUUAGAAACCCUCGUAGUCC